AUUGAACGCUAGCGGGAUGCUUUACACAUGCAAGUCGAACGAGUGGCGGACGGGUGAGUACUGUAUGGGGACUGCCCGCUAGAGGGGGAUAACUACUGGAAACGGUAGCUAAUAACGCAUACUAUCGGAUAACCCAUAUGGGAUUAGAUGGUAGGUGAGGUAAUGGCUCACCUAGGCGACGACCCCUAGCUGGUCUGAGAGGAUGAUCAGCCACACUGGGACGGAGCCACGGCCCAGACUCCUACGGAGGAAGCAGGUGGGAAUUUUGCACAAGUGGCGCAAGCCUGAUGCAGCCAUGCCGCGUGUAUGAAGAAGGCUCUAGGGUUGUAAAGUACUUUCAGUCGGGAGGCGUUACCGACAGAAGAAGCACCGGCUAACUCCGUGCAAGCAGCCGCGGUAAUAC
rnacentral:rRNA from 1 species